rnacentral:rRNA from 1 species
UGCCAUCCGCCGCGGUAAUACGAAGGGUGCUAGCGUUGUUCGGAAUUACUGGGCGUAAAGAGCAUGUAGGCGGAUGAAUUAGUCAGAGGUGAAAGCCCCGAGCUCAACUUGGGAACUGCCUUUGAUACUGUUUGUCUAGAGACCGGGAGAGGUAAGCGGAAUUCCUAGUGUAGAGGUGAAAUUCGUAGAUAUUAGGAAGAACACCAGUGGCGAAGGCGGCUUACUGGACCGGUACUGACGCUGAGGUACGAAAGCGUGGGGAGCGAACAGGAUUAGAUA